rnacentral:rRNA from 1 species
AACGAACGCUGGCGGCAGGCCUAACACAUGCAAGUCGAGCGAGGACUUCGGUCCUAGCGGCGGACGGGGGAGUAACGCGGGGGAACGUGCCCUUUGCUUCGGAAUAGCUCUGGGAAAGUGGGAGUAAUACCGGAUGAGCCCUUAGGGGGAAAGAUUUAUUGGCGCAGGAUCGGCCCGCGUUGGAUUCGGUAGUUGGUGGGGUAAUGGCCUACCAAGCCGACGAUCCAUAGCUGGUUGGAGAGGAUGCUCAGCCACACUGGGACUGAGACACGGCCCAGACUCCUACGGGAGGGAGCAGUGGGGAAUCUUAGACACUGGGGGAAGCCCUGAUCUAGCCAUGCCGGGUAAGCGAUGCAGGCCUUAGGGUUGUAAAGCUCUUUCAGCUGGGAAGAUAAUGACGGUACCAGCAGAAGAAGCCCCGGCUAACUACGUG